rnacentral:rRNA from 1 species
GACGAACGCUGGCGGCGUGCUUAACACAUGCAAGUCGAACGGAAAGGCCCUGCUUUUGUGGGGUGCUCGAGUGGCGAACGGGUGAGUAACACGUGAGUAACCUGCCCUUGACUUUGGGAUAACUUCAGGAAACUGGGGCUAAUACCGGAUAGGAGCUCCUGCUGCAUGGUGGGGGUUGGAAAGUUUCGGCGGUUGGGGAUGGACUCGCGGCUUAUCAGCUUGUUGGUGGGGUAGUGGCUUACCAAGGCUUUGACGGGUAGCCGGCCUGAGAGGGUGACCGGCCACAAUGGGACUGAGAUGCGACACAGACUCGUACGGUAGGCAGCAGUGGAGAAGAUUGCACAAGGGGCGGAAGCCUGAUGCAGCAAAGCCGCGUGCGGGAUGAGGGCCUUCGGGUUGUAAACCGCUUUCGCCUGUGACGAAGCGUGAGUGACGGUAAUGGGUAAAGAAGCACCGGCUAACUACGUG